GAUGAACGCUGGCGGCGUGCUUAACACAUGCAAGUCGAACGGAAAGGCUCCUGCUUGCAGGGGCACUCGAGUGGCGAACGGGUGAGUAACACGUGGGUGAUCUGCCCUGCACUUCGGGAUAAGCCUGGGAAACUGGGUCUAAUACCGGAUAGGACCAUCGUUUAGUGUCGGUGGUGGAAAGUUUUUUCGGUGUGGGAUGAGCUCGCGGCCUAUCAGCUUGUUGGUGGGGUAUUGGCCUACCAAGGCGUCGACGGGUAGCCGGCCUGAGAGGGUGUACGGCCACAUUGGGACUGAGAUACGGCCCAGACUCCUACGGGAGGCAGCAGUGGGGAAUAUUGCACAAUGGGCGCAAGCCUGAUGCAGCGACGCCGCGUGGGGGAUGACGGCCUUCGGGUUGUAAACUCCUUUCGCCAGGGACGAAGCGAAAGUGACGGUACCUGGAUAAGAAGCACCGGCUAACUACGUG
rnacentral:rRNA from 1 species